CCGAGUGCAAACUCACCAACCCAUGUGAACAUACCUUCUGUUGCUUCGGCGGAUCGCCCCGGGCGCCUUCUGCGUGCCCCGGACCAGGCACCCGCCGGGGGAUACAAACUCUUGAUUUUAGUGGAUUAUCUGAGUCGCCUUAGGGCAAACAAAUGAAUCA
rnacentral:misc_RNA from 1 species